rnacentral:rRNA from 1 species
GUGCUUGCACCGAGCGGAUGAGUUGCGAACGGGUGAGUAACGCGUAGGUAACCUGCCUCUUAGCGGGGGAUAACUAUUGGAAACGAUAGCUAAUACCGCAUAAAAGUCGACAUUGCAUGAUGUUGAUUUGAAAGGUGCAAUUGCAUCACUAAGAGAUGGACCUGCGUUGUAUUAGCUAGUUGGUGAGGUAACGGCUCACCAAGGCGACGAUACAUAGCCGACCUGAGAGGGUGAUCGGCCACACUGGGACUGAGACACGGCCCAGACUCCUACGGGAGGCAGCAGUAGGGAAUCUUCGGCAAUGGGGGCAACCCUGACCGAGCAACGCCGCGUGAGUGAAGAAGGUUUUCGGAUCGUAAAGCUCUGUUGUAAGAGAAGAACGAGUGUGAGAGUGGAAAGUUCACACUGUGACGGUAACUUACCAGAAAGGGACGGCUAACUACGUGCCAGCAGCCGCGGUAAUACGUAGGUCCCGAGCGUUAUCCGGAUUUAUUGGGCGUAAAGCGAGCGCAGGCGGUUAGAUAAGUCUGAAGUUAAAGGCUGUGGCUUAACCAUAGUACGCUUUGGAAACUGUUUAACUUGAGUGCAGAAGGGGAGAGUGGAAUUCCAUGUGUAGCGGUGAAAUGCGUAGAUAUAUGGAGGAACACCGGUGGCGAAAGCGGCUCUCUGGUCUGUAACUGACGCUGAGGCU